rnacentral:rRNA from 1 species
AGUGAACGCUGGCGGUAGGCCUAACACAUGCAAGUCGAACGGCAGCACAGUAAGAGCUUGCUCUUACGGGUGGCGAGUGGCGGACGGGUGAGGAAUACAUCGGAAUCUACUUUUUCGUGGGGGAUAACGUAGGGAAACUUACGCUAAUACCGCAUACGACCUACGGGUGAAAGCAGGGGAUCUUCGGACCUUGCGCGAUUGAAUGAGCCGAUGUCGGAUUAGCUAGUUGGCGGGGUAAAGGCCCACCAAGGCGACGAUCCGUAGCUGGUCUGAGAGGAUGAUCAGCCACACUGGAACUGAGACACGGUCCAGACUCCUACGGGAGGCAGCAGUGGGGAAUAUUGGACAAUGGGCGCAAGCCUGAUCCAGCCAUACCGCGUGGGUGAAGAAGGCCUUCGGGUUGUAAAGCCCUUUUAUUGGGAAAGAAAAGCAGCAGGAUAAUACCCCGCUGUUCUGACGGUACCCAAAGAAUAAGCACCGGCUAACUUCGUG